rnacentral:rRNA from 1 species
GUAGGUGGCAAGCGUUGGCCGGAAUUAUUGGGCGUAAAGCGCGCGCAGGCGGUUCUUUAAGUCUGAUGUGAAAGCCCACGGCUCAACCGUGGAGGGUCAUUGGAAACUGGAGAACUUGAGUACAGAAGAGGAAAGCGGAAUUCCACGUGUAGCGGUGAAAUGCGUAGAGACGUGGAGGAACACCAGUGGCGAAGGCGGCUUUCUGGUCUGUAACUGACGCUGAGGCGCGAAAGCGUGGGGAGCAAACAGGGAUUAGAUACCCUGGUAGUCCACGCCGUAAACGAAGAGUGCUAAGUGUUAGGGGGUUUCCCGCCCCCUUAGUGCUGCGGCUAACGCAUUAAGCACUCCGCCUGGGGGAGUACGGCCGCAAGGCUG